GAUGAACGCUGGCGGCGUGCCUAAUACAUGCAAGUCGAGCGAACAGAUGAGGAGCUUGCUCCUCUGACGUUAGCGGCGGACGGGUGAGUAACACGUGGAUAACCUACCUAUAAGACUGGGAUAACUUCGGGAAACCGGAGCUAAUACCGGAUAAUAUAUUGAACCGCAUGGUUCAAUAGUGAAAGACGGUUUUGCUGUCACUUAUAGAUGGAUCCGCGCCGCAUUAGCUAGUUGGUAAGGUAACGGCUUACCAAGGCAACGAUGCGUAGCCGACCUGAGAGGGUGAUCGGCCACACUGGAACUGAGACACGGUCCAGACUCCUACGGGAGGCAGCAGUAGGGAAUCUUCCGCAACGGGCGAAAGCCUGACGGAGCAACGCCGCGUGAGUGAUGAAGGUCUUCGGAUCGUAAAACUCUGUUAUUAGGGAAGAACAAAUGUGUAAGUAACUAUGCACGUCUUGACGGUACCUAAUCAGAAAGCCACGGCUAACUACGUG
rnacentral:rRNA from 1 species